UAUUUUUUGAGCAAUAUUUUUAAUGAUGCGUAAUAGACGUACAGAGUUUCAGGGCUUCCAUCAACCAUUUUUAAGUGCACGGCUCAGUUGUGUUAAGUAUAGUCACACUGUUAUACAACCCAUCUCCAAAGCGUUUCCAUCACCAUUGAACAACAGUUCUCCAUUUUCCUCCCCCUGGACCCCGGCAACCGCCUUCUAGCUUCUGUUUCUAUGAGUUUGGUUACUCUAGAUACCUCAUGGAAGUGGGGUCAUUCAGUCGUUGUCUUCGUGUUGCAGAGCAAGCAUUUUUAAGUCCUGCUAUGUGUCCAUCACUGUGUAUGACUCCGAAAUAGAAAAGGAGGAUCGUUAAAAAUGGAUCUUUUUUUCACUACCACUGUGAUCAGCAAAACUGGGAAAAGGGCAGACCUUGGCUGUGGCCUCUCACAUUGCCCCAGUCCAUGGCAUGAGCGUCUCACCCAAACUUCUAUUCUGGCCCUAACUUUCCUCCCUGCCCCCAUCCAAUGCUGCCUGGACCAGCUGUCACACUGGACUCUGGGACAAAUUAAUUCACGUGAAACUGCUAAUGGCUGACACAGUAAUAAGUCAGAUUGUGUUUCAACAUAAAGAUUUAAAUCUCUUUUUAACAAAAAUAUAGAGAAGGGGGUCUCACUAUGUUGCUCAGGCUGGUCUCAAACUCCUGGGCUCAAGUGAUCCUCCUGCCUCAGUCUCCCAAGUAGCUAGAACUAUAGUUGUGUGCCACCAAGAACUAAAUCUCUAAAACUGGAACUUCAGAUGACAGCAGUAGCCUGGUAAGGGAGAGCCCGUUCACAGUAGUCCUUUAGGUGUCUGCACAAAGCAAAUGGGUUUCUCUCUGCCCAUCAUUGUAAGCCUGUGACCCUUGGGACAAAACACUUUGCCUCAUAGGUGCAUCCUAGGAAGAAUCCAUCCUACUAAAGUUGCCAUCAACUGGCAGAGCACUCAACUGGCAGUGGUGUGACCUGCUGUCUCCCUGCUCUGUGCUGGAGUGGAGCCUCUGUGAUCUGCCUCUGCCACAGGCAAAGUUCUCAGGGAAACUAGAGAAACUGGACUGACUUGGGGGAACCAUUUAUGACACCAGGUAAAAGACCAUGGAAUCCAGGCUCUUCAGGGCCAUCGCUGUAGGGGCCUACUUCCUGUCUUAGUUCAGGUUCUAGAAGCAGAGCCUAAGACAGGGAUUCCGGGGCAUGUGAUUUCUCCAGGGAGCGCCCUUCAGGAAAAACCUCCACGAGCAUUAGGGAAGGACGGGCCAAGCAAGGAUGGAUCUUGGGUAAAGCCGAGCUGUGACCUGAGGCCCAAGGGCCGCUGGGGCAUUUCCACAGGGCAGUCACACCGUCCUUCAGAGAAGGGGGCUGGCCUUUGUGCCUCCUCAACAGUUAGCCUCUGGCUGCAGUAGCAGGGCUAACCUCCCAGGUCACAGCAGCUUGGGACAAAGUCCCUGCCUGGUAAAAGAUCUGGCUGGUUCUUUCAGGGGAACGUAACAUCUGCAUGACUCAUGCGUGCAAACCACCCACACGCUAGGAAUCUGAAGUGGUUGCUCCUAGAAACAGAAAUAAACGACCAUCCAGUGAUGAAGAGUUUUCCCCAGCAAAGAGACAACUCCAGGGAAGAGCUUUCCAGUGUGAGUACAGAGAUUGUGGUUUAAGGUAACUAAUGAUUUGCAUAAAGCCAACUUCCAUAUUACCUGACACAUGGUAAAAUAUGGACACAGUGCUUUUUGAGAGGUAGAGAAAAAUAACUCAGUACACAACUUUACUGCCUGUAAAACCCAACACCAGAAAAUUCCCUCCAAUAAGAAUCGGCACCAGACAGGCGUUGAAAUAUUUAGCAUCUUCUGAGAUGUAAUUACUACUCCGCUGUGUGCAUCUGUGUUUGCUGUCCCCUCCGAAUGGAACAGGAUGUGAUUUCACUGAAUUGGCAGAUUUAUCCACCUGGCUUUUGAGCAGUUGGUCAUUUUUCAGCCUGGUGGUGAAUGCCUUUCCCCAUACCCCCAGCACACAGGCAGGCACCCUCCGCCCCCAGCUCCCAAAUCCAAGAGAAAAACUCAAAGAGAACUCAACCGAGGGUGGAUGGUUUUUCUGUCAGUUACCUGCUUUCUGUUCCUUCCAGAACCUACAACGGCCGUGACACUGGGGGCAGAUCAGGAGUCUAUAAAUGACAUAUGACUAAGAAGCAGAGGGAUACCAGCUGCUUAUUGACAAAAUGGGUGGCUCCCAGUGAGGCGUGGAAGGACAGAACUGGCCCAGACCAGCUGGGAGGCCUUGGCACAUACAACAGAGCCUGCUGGGUCACAGCACAGCCAUUGUCAUCCUGUGAAACGUGAACCUGACCUUCUACCCAACAAGGAUCCUGAUGGACUGGCUAUCUACCUCCCCAGGAUAAAAGCAGUGAGG
rnacentral:lncRNA from 1 species